rnacentral:lncRNA from 1 species
AUGUGUGUACAUAAAGUUAAUACUGGGUCAAGUUCAUUAAUCUGCACUCCGGGAGGGCUCAAGAGUCUGAGACGUCAGGAUCCAUCUGCAGUGGCAACAGCAGAAAGGAGAAGAAGAAGAUGUUUGGCCUGAAAGUAAGAAAGAAGAAGGAUAUCCCAGACCUGGUCCUGGCAAACAAGGGAGCUGUGGGUAAGGCCUGAAAAACAAACACACGC